UCGGGUCGGCAUGGCAUCUCCACCUCCCCGUGGUCCGACCUGGGCAUCCGAAGGAGGACAAACGUCCACUCGGAUGGCUAAGGGAGAGCCAGU
rfam:Hepatitis delta virus DNA, complete genome, strain:Miyako(JA-M12).